UACGGGGGGGCAAGCGUUGUUCGGAAUUACUGGGCGUAAAGGGCGCGUAGGCGGCCUUCUAAGUCGGACGUGAAAUCCCUCGGCUUAACCGAGGAACUGCGUCCGAUACUGAAAGGCUUGAAUCCGGGAGAGGGAUGUGGAAUUCCAGGUGUAGCAGUGAAAUGACGUAGAUAUGCGGAGGAACACCGAUGGCGAAGGCAAUCCCCGUGGACCCUGUACGUGACGCUCAUGCACGAAAGCGUGGGGAGCAAACAGG
rnacentral:rRNA from 1 species